rnacentral:rRNA from 1 species
CCUACGGGAGGCAGCAGUGGGGGAUCUUGCACAAUGGGGGAAACCCUGAUGCAGCGACGCCGCGUGGGUGAAGAAGCGCCUCGGCGCGUAAAGCCCUGUCAGCAGGGAAGAAAAUGACGGUACCUGAAGAAGAAGCACCGGCUAACUACGUGCCAGCCGCCGCGGUAAUACGUAGGGGGCAAGCGUUAUCCGGAUUUACUGGGUGUAAAGGGGGCGCAGACGGCGAUGCAAGCCAGGAGUGAAAGCCCGGGGCCCAACCCCUGGACUGCUCUUGGAACUGCGUGGCUAGAGUGCAGGAGGGGCAGGCGGAAUUCCUGGUGUAGCGGUGAAAUGCGUAGAAAUCAGGAGGAACACCGGUGGCGAAGGCGGCCUGCUGGACUGCAACUGACGUUGAGGCCCGAAAGCGUGGGGAGCAAACAGGAUUAGAUACCCGAGUAGUC